rnacentral:lncRNA from 1 species
UUAUACCACACAUUUAAUGUGGAUAAAUCCAAGUCCAGAUAACUACUCCAAAUCCCAAUUUCUUUCCAUUUUACAGUUCCCAUUACCAAUUUCCUUGUCUCUCCAUUUGACAUCAGCACCAGCAUCAUCAAUUUCCCAAAUUUGCAAUGUCCAAAACACCCUUAUCAUUCAUUCAUCUCUUCCUCCAUUGACCACUUCUCAACUUUGGUGUUUCCUCAUUUUUUCUUUCUUCAAACCGUUAUUAGGGUUUUCUUCACUUCUCCAUUUUUCCCUCUUUCACACUUUCCACCAAGAUCCCACUUGGACUUUUUUUCAUACCCUUUUCAUAAACAAGUCUUACUCUCUCUAAAAGCUUCAAUUUUUCACACAACCCCUUUUUUUGGGGCUUUUUCAAUUUUCUUUCUUUUGGGAUAAUUGGGUCAGUUUCGUCUUAAAGUUUGGAUUUUUCGAUCUGAUCCAGUUACGUUUGUGCUCAAUUGUCUCUAGCUGGUUCGAGUUGUUUCCAAUUUUGGGUCAAGUUUGGAAGAAAAAAAGGGUAUGUAAUUUACCUCUUAUUUAGGUUCUAGGGUUAAUUUUGGUGCUGUUGAAGGAAUUGAUUUGCUUGUUGUCUGUAUUUGUGAUAAAGGGUUGCUGUUGAAUUGAGAUUUGAAUCUGGAAUUUUGGAUUUUGUUGCUAGUUUAUGAUUUUGUUGACUUAAGGGAUGCUUAGAUUAUUUCUCAAGAUUGGUUUUUUAAGGUAGUUAGUGUAUUAGAAUUGUUUGAAGUUGAAUAGGUUAUUUAGGUUGAUUUAGUGGAUUUUGAAGUUUUUUGUGUUGUUGGAAGCUCUGUGUGAAUUGUUUUGGUUUGUUGAAAGAGAAAAUAAGU